AUCAAAGAACAUGAGCAGCUUGAU
rnacentral:siRNA from 1 species